rnacentral:rRNA from 1 species
GAUGAACGCUGACAGAAUGCUUAACACAUGCAAGUCAACUGUGGCGGACGGGUGAGUAACGCGUAAAGAACUUGCCUCACGGAUAGGGACAACAUUAGGAAACGAAUGCUAAUACCUGAUACUGUGAGAGCGCUUUGCGUCCCAUUAGCUAGUUGGAGAGGUAACGGCUCACCAAGGCGAUGAUGGGUAGCCGGCCUGGGAGGGUGAUCGGCCACAAGGGGACUGGGACGCGACCCUUACUCCUACGGGAGGAAGCAGUGGGGAAUAUUGGACAAUGGACCAAAGUGUGAUCCAGCAUUUCUGUGUGCACGAUGAAGUUUUCGGAAUGUAAAGUGCUUUCAGUUGGGAAGCGGUACCAACAGAAGAAGUGACGGCUAAAUACGUGCCAGCCGCCGCGGUAAUAC